GACGAACGCUGGCGGCGUGCCUAAUACAUGCAAGUCGAGCGGACAGGCGCUGCGCUUGCUCCUCUCACGUUAGCCGCACACGGGUGAGUCACGCGUGUAUACUCUCCCUAUCAGACUGGGAUAACUUCGAGAAACGGGCGCUAAUACCGUAUAAUAUCUUGAACCGCAUGGUUCAAUAGUGAAAGUCGGCGUUGCUGUAACUUCUAGCUGCAUCUCCGCCGCAUUGGCUGGUUGGUACGGUAACGGCUUACCAAGGCGAGCAUGCGUGGCCGACGGGAGAGGGGGAUCGGCGACACGGGAACGGAGACACGGACCAGAGUCCUAAGGGAGGGAGCAGUAGGGAAUGGGCCGCAAUGGGGGAAAGCCUGACGGAGCAAGGCCAAGCGAGUGAUGAAGGUGUUCGGAGCGGAAAACUCGGUUAUGGGGGAAGAACAAAUUUGGAAUGUAACGUGCACGGCGUGACGGUACCGAAUCAGAAAGCCACGGCUAACUACGUG
rnacentral:rRNA from 1 species